UUGUUUCCCGAGACAGAUCAAGAGCUAACAUUUGUUUUUAACAUUACAAUUGACAUGUACAUGUCCUGGUUAAUCUGCUUUGGAUUAUUUCUUUGAACUGUUUUUCCAGGGUGUAACAAUUGUACAGCAUACAUGUUUAAUGACUUUAAUGACAAGAACUGAGUGCAAAUCACUCUUUUUGGCAGAAAUGGUAGAGGUUAUUUAAUUGGUUGAUUGAGAUAUCUUUUAAGCAUAGUCCUCAAAUUUCAAUGAGGUGAGUUCGGGAAUUUGGGAAGGCCAUUCCAGUUGCUUAAUGUUAAUCUACUUUAUUUAUUCCAAAACCAGUUUUGACGUGUUUGGGAUCAUUUUCCUGUUGAAACACCGAACUGUGUCCAAGUUUCAACCAUUUAGCUGAUGAUUUGAGGUGAAUUUGAAGAAUUUGGAGGCAAUCCUCCUUCUUUCUUAUUCCAUCUACUUUGUACAAUGUACCGGUACCACUAGCAGCAACACAGCCCCAGAGCAUGAUGGUCACCACCGUGCUUGACAGUUGGUACAAUGUUCUUAGGUUUGAAAGCCUUACCUUUAACUCUUCAACCAUCCCGCUUCUCAUUAUAUCCAAAGAGUUUAAUGUUUGUCUCAUCUGACCGUCUUAUUUUUCUCCAGAAGGCAUUUGACUGGUCCAUAUGGACAGCUGCAAAAAAAAGAGUUUAUUUUGGAGCAGGAGCUUCCUUCUUGGUCGGCACCCUCUCUGUACAUGGUGAUUUAAAAUUCACUUCACCAUGGACAGUGAUGCUGGUCUUCCAGCAGUUUCCAGUUAAUGUCAGGCUUGAUGCUUGGUGAUUCCUGGGUUGUUCCAGAACAUCCUCACCAAUUUCCUCUCAUCAGAGGGAAACUGUCAUGGUGCUCAUGUAUUUCUUGUAUAUGUUUUUCCAUAUGUUAUGGUGGUUUUCUCUCCCUUUUUGUCCUUUCUCCCUGGGUGCUCCCGGAUGUUUUGGGGUCGCUGAGGGGACUGCGACCCGGAAGUGUUCCCGCACUGGGGACUGCCGCACCUGCCGCCCAUUAGCCCUCACCAGCUGCAGCUGAUGGCUUCAUGAGGGGCGCCUUAUUUAAGAAGGUGGCAGAGCCCCAGUCGGCGCGGGAUCAUACUAAGUCGAACCUGAGUCGGGAGUCAGGAACGUCGUCACGAGGGGAAAUCACAGAGUGGAAUCGGGUUUUUGGAGUUGUCACCUUUUCACUGCUAUGGACACGUGCACUGUGUGGGAUUCUUGGAGGAAUCGCCACAGGAGUCACAGUGCUUGAAUUGUAUAUAGUUGUCGUUUCUGUCCACUCGCCAUAAAUAAAUCCACUGUCCUUCACUUGA